GAGACACACAGAGAGAAGCAGAGACAUAGGCAGGGGGAGAAGCAGGCUCCCCGGAGGGAGCCCAAUGCGGGACUUGACCCCAGGACUCCAGGAUCACGCCCUGAGCCGAACGCAGAUGCUCAACCGCUGAGCCACCCAGGCGUCCCCUGGCCAGUUCUAACCAGCUGGGAAGGGGAAAGCCCUCCCCGGAAGCUGUGGAGUGAUGGUGUCUUGGUCAGCAGAGUUCUCUUGCUGUGAUGAGACCUACUCUUACCAAAUGGUUGCUGGAAUGCCGGAAUAUUCGAGAAUAUUCUAGAAUUUCCGGGUGUGUGUGUGUGGCCUCCAUCAGCUCCCUCCACACACACCCCCACAGGAGAGAAAGGGGUACAGCUGUGGAAACUGGCACUGCUUCCCACAUUGCCUGGAGACUAAGCUUCUCUGCCCAUUACUGCACCUGGUUCCAGCCCAGGUCCUAAACUUGCGUCCCAAAGCCGUCCCUCUGCCCUCUGGCUAGCAGGACUCACCCUCUUCAGAAGAUUUUCUCCUCUGCGUGUACCCUGGCAACCCAUCACCGUGUGUCACCAGGUCAAAGGCAGCACUUUCUCUGGAUUUUGGUGAAUGAAAUUCUCUUUGUCCUACUACCCCAAUAAUAGAUGCCGACUGUAGUGCCAAGAAAGAGAGGCAUCGUGAGCCGGGUGAGAUAGCCCAAAGUGUGUCCCCGUCCGUUUUUUUUUUUUUUUUUUUUUGAUGUCUAUCUACCUUCCCGCUGUCACCUUGGCUAUUCUCACUUGUCUCUUGUCUGUCACUGGAACUUGGACAGGUGGAGGCAGCGAAGGCAUGAGGGGU
rnacentral:lncRNA from 12 species